rnacentral:rRNA from 1 species
CGGGUGGCGUCAAGCUGCAAGCCCGGAGGAUUCAGCUGGCUAGGAUGUUGUGUAUGCGCCUGGCGCAUCUAUCAGCCGGAGUAAGAUGUGAUAGUCCACUGGUAAACGGUGGGCCCGGCCGCAAGGUUGGGAUAUGUGUACCGGGCGGAAGCCGGAGCAUGCUAUUCGUCUGUUGGGCUGUCUAGUCAGUGCACUUUCUCUGUGGUGAACACCACGACCGGUGGAAUUGCCAGUCUGCUGUAGUCAAGUCGUAUUCAGUCGGUUCUUGUAGCCAACUGGGUGCGAUCACAGGCAAACUCAGUAAACGGCGUAGGGGUGUCUCGGCAUCCUUGCGUGUUAUCGGCUGCUGGUUGUCAACGGGCCUGCCUGAUGAUUGUUGUAACCGUCAUUGGGUGGUCUGGUGGGCUAUGGUGGUAAGAAUAACUGUGCAAGGCAUCGGAGUUCUCGGCCUCAAAUGCAUCCUGCAUACACGUUACAAGUGGAGUGGGGUGCCAUUGCAGCCUGCCUGUUGUUGGGUCUGAUUGUCGUGUCGCCUGCGCAAAGUGGGCCCGGCAGUGGCCUGAUGCGGGAUGGGUUGUGGAUGG